ACAGGUUUUAUUUUCCCGUGUUGCGGACAGUGAUGAUGUCCGUGAUUUCCUUCGAGAACGCUUGGGGAGCGGAUAUCAUUUGGGGGGGUUGCUUCAAUCUAUUUAUAAACGGCGCUCAACUGUGCCAGGUUGCCGGCCAAAGUACACUUGACCGAAGCAACGAGCCAGCAACUCCUCACGACGCAGUCGAUGAUAUACCAGAAAUCAAGGCAAAACGUGGGCGCCGCGACGCGAGCGCAUUCUUGGAAUUCCUCCAAAAUCUUGGUGAAAUACUUUGCUCGACAGAGAGAAAACAAAAGAUCCAACAGAUUUUCAUAGAGACAGGGAGAGAGGUAGAUUGUUUUUUGAAAAGCGCCGACCAGCAGCUGCUGCUGCUUCUCCUACUGCAAUGGCCCUUUCUCUUCAUUGCCUUGGAUUCCCUGGCUAAUGGGAUUGCUUUUAAAGGUUUCACAUUCGCGAGGUAAUGGAAUCUCCUGUAUAAUGUCAACAGUCGUGCCCGCCUUUUGCUGCUCCGAAAAUCAACAGACAAAUUAGUAGCCCACAUCGCAUAACACUGGCCUUAAGGAAUGCACCCACAGAUAGAAGGUAGCACCAGUGGGUGACCUGGAAAUAGAAUUGCGAGAGCUGGCUAGUUGCCACCAUGAGGCUUAUCGACAAUCAUGACACAAAACAGGAAGAAGAGAACUUUUGCAAACCACAAGCCGAUGGGUGACCCUACUUCCUUUCAUAUAAACCAGCACGCACACUGAAUGACAGCACAGUUCCAUUGCUUUUAGGUCAGCUGCAGCCGAACAACAGAGCUCAAGGAUAUUCUUCUUGUGUGGCUUCUGCUUAAGCCAAAGUAACCAAAUCAUAGAAUAACGGGACCUGACUGUGAAGAGCAACUUGUGGAUGACUGCUAACGGGUUGGAUACCGGGCCGAUUGUGUUGUUUACAGACGCCCGGACAUGGGUGGGGCCCCUGUAUAUAUAAACAAGCGAUUUCGAGCCUAGGCCAGGAGAAAUGGAAGGAAGCCGAGAAGAAGCGGGAUGCAAAAUGCACACGUUUUCCUUACCGGUGAGGGGAUUCAAGUGGUUGGUAGUACCCGUUUAAACUUGAACAGAGUCGGCUUUGGUGCAACACUACACAACUUUGUCUACGUUAAG